rnacentral:SRP_RNA from 1 species
GCCGGGUGUAGUGGCACAUGCCUGUAGUCCCAGCUACUCCGGAGGCUGAGGUGGGAAGAUGGCUUGAACCCGGGAGGCGGAGGUUACAGUGAACCGAGAUGGCACCACUGUGCUCCAGCCUGGGUGACAAAGUGAGACUCCAUCUCGA